UCACCAAACGAGUGGGGAAUUUGUUUUGGUUAAUCCAAAUCAAACGAACCGCGACAACGUCAUUUAUGACGGGGGUUCGACGAAGUCGGCCCAUGACCCGAUGAUUUGUCCCUUGAAACAAUGUUAGAUCUCUUGUGUUGUUGCUCAAUGAUCUUCGUCAAAUGAUGUGGGGAUGUCUAGUUGCUUGUAGAUCGUAGUUUCAAGCUUNGAUCUUAGUUUUAAGCUUAACUGGUCUUUUCACUAGGCCCGCACGAAAGGUUUGAUUGUAUGGCAUGUUCUUGUUUGAUUGUUGCCUUAUGAUUGGAUCGUUAGUGUAACUGCUGACAUGAUGUGGCUUGUUAAUCUUAAAACUUGGGAUGGCGACUAAGCAUUGUUGCGUCAGUUGAUGAGUUUUGUUGAACGGGAAGGCAAGAGUUUGAAUUUUGUUGUGUUGUUGAUGACAUUUGUCCCUCAAUGUGGUGGUGUCAAGUUGCUUCACGCUUGGUGACUAGGCAUUGCCUUGUUGGUCGAUGGAGGUCGUCCGAUGAAGUGUUGGCUACAAUAAUUUGUUCUCGCAUCGUUCGGUGCAUUCCG
rnacentral:misc_RNA from 1 species